rnacentral:rRNA from 1 species
AUGGAAUGUCGAUCUAUUAUCACACCAAGGGACCUGGAGUCCAUGCUAUGUGAUGAGACGGCAGAGCCCAAGCCGCUGCCACUGUCACUUCUCAAAGAAAUUACAAAUGAUUUCUCUCCUGAGCAGAAAAUUGGCUCCGGUGGAUUUGCGGUGGUUUAUAAGGGAAUUCUUGAGAAUAGUUCCGUGGCUGUGAAAAGGAUGUUAAAUACGUAUGAGUAUGAGAAGGAGUACGUCCGAGAAGUUGAAUGCCUCAUGAUGGUGAAGCACAAAAAUGUCGUACGGUUUCUGGGAUAUUGUGCUGACACACAAGGCAGUAUGUUAAAGUAUGAAGGAAAAUUGGUCUUGGCCGAUGUACGACAAAGGUUGCUUUGCUUCGAGUUUGUUCCUAAAGGGAGUCUUCGUAAGUAUAUCACGGGUACAUCUUGCGGACUUCACUGGACAGACCGGUAUCAAAUUAUAAUAGGAAUUUCUCAGGGGUUACAUUAUCUUCAUCAAAAUAAUAUUGUCCACUCAGAUCUAAAGCCAGAGAAUAUAUUGUUGGAUGAUAAUUUGGUACCAAAAAUUACUGAUUUUGGUCUAUCAAGGUGCUUUCGUCCAAUGCAGAGCCAGACUUUUACUGUAAACAUACGCGGCACACCGGGUUAUUUUGCACCAGAAUGUUGGAACGGUGAAAUCACACACCGGCUUGAUAUCUAUUGUCUUGGUAUAAUAAUCACGGAGGUACUGACAGGACAAAGGUUGUCUCUAAAUGAUAAUGCUGACAAGGUAGUUGAAAGUUGGAGUGCCAUAUUGGAGAAACCACAGCAGGAUGUACAACUGGAACAGGUACGAGUAUGUGCUGAGAUUGCAAUGAAGUGCAUGGAGAUCAACCCGGCAAGGAGACCAGAUACACAACAUAUUAUCAGUGCCCUUGAUGGAAGAGAAACUAUAAAUGGAUAUAUUGAAAAUAGCAUGAUUACUUCACAGCAGUUUAAUCCGGAAGUAUUGAAUGACACCAUGGGUGCUCUUUGGUUGAGGUAUCAACAACUUAAUCCAGAUCUCCAGCGAAGCUUCAAAUAUUGCAGUAUUUUCCCCAAGAGAUCCAAGUUAAGAAGGGAUGUGUUAGUUCGCUUGUGGGUAGCACAAGGGUUUAUAAAGACCAGUUGUGCAACGGAGGACAUGGAAGAUAUAGCUGAGAGUUAUUUUCAGGAGUUAGUGUCAUGCUCAUUUCUUCAGCAAGGAGGAGAAUGGCAUGAUACUUGGUUUACAAUUCCUGACCUGUUGCAUGAUUUAUUAGACAAGAUUAGUGGAACGGACUGCUUCAGAAUCGAGAAUGCAAGGAGUCAGAGAGGAGAAGGAUGGAAAGGAGAUGUUCCCCAAGACGUCUGCCAUCUUCUUGUAGAGCGUUAUGAUGGAGAAUUGAUUACCAAAAAGAUCCUUGGAUUGGAAAAUUUACACACCCUCAUAAUAUAUGUUGUUGAAAGGGAUACAUCAGUUGAGGCAAAAGUCAUGGAGAGUAUAUGCAAGAGGCUACGUAAACUACGGGUAUUGGCUGUUGCUUUCAGCCGGGAACAUCUUCCAAUCUUACGACCCAAGAAGUUCCUGGUACCAGAAUCCAUUAGACAGUUAAAGGACCUAUGCUAUCUUGCUUUCAGGACAUUCGAAUGCACCGUAAUUUUACCAAGCACACUAACGAAUAAACUUCACCAGAUGCAGCUGCUAGACUUUGGUAAUCAUAGCAAUGGCCAAAUUUGGGAAUUUACCCUUGAUAACCUUAUGAACCUGCGAUACAUAAUUUGUGAGAACUUAGACUGUCCUAACAUAGGCAGGCUGAUCUCACUCCAAGCGUUACCAAGCAGCAGGUUCACUGUGAGGAAUGAACAUGGUUAUGAGAUAAAGCAGCUUAAGGACCUAAACAAGCUUCGUGGCAGCCUGACAAUCUAUGGCCUUGAAAAUGUUAAAAGCAAGGAGGAAGCUGUUGUAGCCAAUAUAGGUGCCAAGGAUCGGUUGAAGGAACUGAAGUUGGAAUGGGGUGAUGAUGGUACAAGGUGCAGUUCAGAAGUUGAAGCAGAGGUGCUUGAGGGCCUGCGCCCUCCCGUAGGUCUUGAAGAACUGAUUAUCUCAGGCUAUAAAAGCUCGAGAAACCCAGAUUGGAUGGUGGGUAAACAGAAUGGUGGCCCAGAGAACCUGCAAAAACUUGUGUUGUUUGGAUGGAGCCAACCGGGAUCUUGUCCUGAACUUGAGGCGUUCGUUCAGCUUCGUGUGCUCUGGCUUGGUCACUGCAGGUGGGACACAUUGCCAGCCAGUAUUGAGCACCUCACAUCGCUCAAGGAACUGGAAAUCGAAGGGUGCUUGAAUAUCCGGUCGCUUCCAACACUGCCCCGAUCUCUUGAGAAGUUUUCUGUUGCAUACUGCAGUGGUGAGUUCACGAAGUCAUGUCAAACAGUCAGACAUCCAAAUUGGCAGAAGAUCAAGCACAUCCCCGACCAAAGAUUUGAAGACCCAGCAUCCUCAGAAGAAAAUUCUAGUGAGAUUGUCCCACAAAAGAAGAGAAGAAAGAAGAGAAGGUUGGCUAGGAAUCACAAGUCGGUGAAUCAGUGA